rnacentral:lncRNA from 1 species
GUCCCGGGGGCACAGGCGUUCUUAAGGCUGCAGAGCCCUGGGUCCCCCACCCGGCCCCGGUUCACUUUGAGCGGUCCCAAGGCCUGAGGGCCUACUGUCCAGUCCCCAGGUUAUCGUCCUGAGCAAAGACAGACCCCGAGCCCUGCGGUCUUGGGGCUCAAACAGUCCCUGGAUGGCCAAACAAGCAAAUAUUCGCCAUGGCAGUGGGUGCUGGAAGGGUGGCUCACGGAGCUGACGCCCUCCGCAGAGAACCGUGGUCUAGUCCUGCGGUCACGAGGCCUAUCUGGGACAGUGGUGUUUGAGCUGAGACUUUAACGAAUAGAGACAGGUGAGGUUCCUGCAGCCCAGGGCUUCAGGCACUGUGCUAAGCAGUUUUCCUGGAAGUGUCUACCUCAUUUCGUUCUCUGAAUAGCUCUAAGAGCGUGAACAACCCCAGAAGGAAAAAGAGUGCUGUUGUUAAAGGUAUCUGGCAUCAUGGACCCAACCAUCACCAGGAGUUUCUCACUUCAUCUCUGUGUGAUAAAUUUUGACAUAUGUAUACAUCCAUGAAGCCGGCACCACAAUCAAGAUAAUGAACAUCUCGCUUACCCCAGAAGUUUCCUGUGCCCUGUCACUCCUCCGUAUUCCUCCAUCCUCAGGAUUUCAUCAAAUGGUCUGCUGCACUGUGCUGGAAUUUUGAACUCCCCAGAGUAGUAAACAACAUCUUCUCAAGGGUAUACAAGUCAUCAGAUAGAGAAAACACCCAUUAUAGAGCUGUGGAGCCCUUACGAUAUAGUGCUAUGCUGCAACAAAUUAGACAGAAGAGUAUUUGUUGAAUAAUAAAAGAGUCUCACUCUAUUGCCCAGGCUGGAGUGCAGUGGCAUGAUCUCGGUACACUGCAAGCUCUGUCUCCUGAGUUCAAGCGAUUCUCAUGCCUCAGCCUCCCGAGUAGCUGGGAUUACAGUUUUCCAAUAAUAACAUAGAAAAAAGGAAGAAUUUGAGAGUUUCUCAGAUUAGGCAAUUCCUUGAAGAAUCUGAGAACACAGAAGCUCCCCUCCCUACUUUCCAUGAUUGAAAUCAGUGAUUCAUUGGUUUCUUUGUGUGGGCUUUUGAAAGAUCAUUAGAAACCAACCUGAAGAUCAUGAGAUUCUUGUGGACACAGGAGCAAUGAGUGGCAAUACAGUGCUUUCUAAUGCAACCUACUUUAAAAGGUAAACAGAUAAAAGAAAAUACCGAAGACUGAAAAUGCAGAAAAUUCAACCAUGCAGCCCAUUCCAAAUUAAAUAUGUCUUCCUCUCUAAUUCCUCUCUUCUAGCAGAGAAGGGGAGAUGAGCUAUGACUCCAUGCUCAUGCUUAACAAAAUUGUGUUAGAUUGGUGCAAAAGUAAUUGCAGUUUUUGCCAUUUAAAAGUAAUUGCAAUGUUAUCUCCUAGAAUUUUUAUAGUUUCAGGUCUUAAGUUUAAGUCCUUAAUCCAUCUUGAGCUGAUUUUUUGUAUAGGGCUGGACGUUCGCUUAGGCAAGGAUUUCAUGACCAACAACCUGAAAGGAAAUGCAAUAAAAACAAAGAUAAAUAGCUGGAACCUAGUUAAACUAAAGAGCUUUUGCAUGGCAAAAAGAAGAGUCAGCAGAGCAAACAGAUAACAAACAGAGUGGGAGAAAACCUUCAUAAUCUGUACAUCUGACAAAGUGCUAAUAUCCAGAAUCUACAAUGAACUCAAACAAAUCAGUAAGAAAAAAACAAUUCCAUCAGAAAGUGGCUAAGGAUAUGAAUAGGCAAUUCUCAAAAGAAGAUAUACAAAUGGCCAACAAACAUAGGAAAAAACGCUCAACAUCACAAAUGAUCAGGGAAAUGCAAAUCAAAACCACAAUGCGAUACCACCUCACUCCUGCAAGAAUGGCCAUAAUUAAAAAAAAAAAUCAAAAAACAGUAGAUGUUAGCAUGGAUGCGGUGAACAGGGAACACUUCUACACUGCUGGUGGGAAUGUAAACUAGUAAAGCCACUAUGGAAAACAGUGUGGAGAUUCCUUGAAGAAUUAAAAGUAGAACUACCAUUUGAUCCAGCAAUCCCACUACUGGGUAUCUACCCAGAGGAAAAGAAGUCACUAUUCAAAAAAGAUACUUGCACACACAUGUUUAUAGUGGCACAAUUCAAAAUAGCAAAAUCGUGGAACCAACCCAAAUGCCCAUCAAUCAACAAGUGGAUAAAGAAACUGUGGUAUGUAUAUAUAAUGGAAUACUAUGCAGCCAUAAAAAGGAAUGAAUUAACAGCAUUUGCAGUGACCUGAAUGAGAUUGGAAACUUAUUCUAAGUAAAGUAACUCAGGAAUGGAAAACCAAACAUCAUAUCUUCUCACAGAUAUAUGGGAACUAAGUUAUGAGGACUCAAAGGCAUAAGAAUGAUACAAUGGACUUUGGGGACUUGGGGGGAAGGGUGAGAAGUGGGUGAGGUAUAAAACACUACAAAUAUGCUGCGGUGUAUACUGCGCAGGUGAUGGGUGCACGAAAAUCUCACAAAUCAUCCCUAAAGAACUUACUCAUGUAACCAAAUACCAUCUAUACCUCAAUAACUUAUGGGGAAAAAAGUAAUUGCAAAAACUGCAAUUACCUUUGCAUGAACCAAAGGCCUACUUUGGAGAGUCAGAGGAAUUCUUAACCAUAAUUCAACCAAGACAUACGGUAUGUGCCUUCUCUUUGGUGGAACAGUGAAUAUACAGGCUACUAGCCUGUACUGAGUGUUUCAGCCAAAACACAUUCUUUUAAAAGUCACAGUUUUAAGUGACAAUAUCCCAAUGAAAAUACAAAUUAAAAAAUGCAUUGGCAUAUCUAUAUUCCCUCCCAAAAUAACACACAUUUGGAAUAUAUAAAGAACUCUUAAAAGUCAAUGAGAAAAAAAGCAAUAGCUCAGUAGAAAAGUGGGAAGAAGACUUGGACACUUCAGAAAAGAGAAUAUAUUAAAAUAGUCCAUAAACAGAAAUAAAAGGUGCUCAACUUUAUGAGUCAUCUGGGAUAUGUAGAUUAAAACCACAGUGCAAUAUUAUACCACCCCUACCAGAAUAACUAAAAAGAGUAAGUUGGAAAAUACUCAGUGCUGAUGAGAAAGUGGGGUAAUUGAAACUCUUAUACAUCAUUCUAGGAACAUCCACUUAGGAAAACAACUUGGCAGUGUCUAAUAAAGUCCAGUAUAUGCAUUCCCUAUAACCCAGAAUUUUUACUCUCAGGUGUAUACCCAACAGAAAUGCAGGUGUGUGUUCACCAGAAAUCAUGUUCAAGAAUGUUCAUGGUAUCACUAGUCAUGAGGCACAAAAACUGGAAAUGUUCAUCAACAAUGAGUAGGAUAAAUAAGUUGUGUUAAUAUUUAUACAAUUGAAAAUUAUACAGCAGAAAGAAUAAAUAAUCUAAACCUACACACAACAGCAUGAAGAAAUCUCAUGAGUGGAAUGUUAGAUCAUAACCUAAAUAAACUUACCUGGAGCAGGUGCCACUGAAGCCAUAAAAUGGUAGGAUGAAUUGCUGGAGGCUGACUAUGGACUAGCUUGACAGUAAAAAAUUUGGGGAGGUCCAUUCUGAAGGAGGCCCCUCACACUUUCUUGGAUUUUAUCUUCAGGAAGCCCACCAGAUUUUCAUGGUGAAGAUCUUAGAAAACAUCUCUCAUAUCUUGGUCAGUUGGGGGAAAGUAGCAUUUUGAAAUAAUCCUAGAGCAUUCUCCAUAGCCAAGGUUUACUCCUCAACGGAAACAACUUUACCAGAGCCUUAGUUGACCAUGGAGAAGGGCAGUUAGCCCCCUACAUCCCUCUCUAGCUUUCUUGUGUUACUUAGUGGAAGGAAAAAAAGGAUAAGAAACACUUCUGAAGUCCAAUUCAGGGACUUGAGCCCACUAAAAGACUGAAAUAUACUUACCUCCUCCACACCUUACCACCACAUCAACACAGCUCCAGAAUAAUCACAAUGGGUUACAAUGGAAAGAGCUGCAAAACAUAGACUCUAUUUAAGAAGGAAUUCUUAGGGAAAUCCAAUGUGGAGAAAACAAAGACACUGAGGAAACUAAAGUCUCUGGCAUCUAUAGCUAUGGAAAACAUGAAGCACAACCCAUCUGCUAGGCAGAUUGACAUAAAACCUCAUACUAAAGACCUAUUUUCCUCAGUUCUCAUUACCUGAUACAUCAUGUUUGACUUUUAACAAAAAAUCAUAAGGAAGGCUAUACAAAAAGAAAAGGAAAAACACAGUCAGAAGAGACAAAGUAAGCAUCUGAACUAGACUUUGACAUGAAACAAAGUUUGGAAUAAUCAAAUAGAUAAUUAAAAAUAACUAUGAUUAGUUAUGUUAAGGACUGUAAUAGAAAAAGUAUAAGCAUGCAAGAGCAGAUGAAUAAUAUAAGCAGAAUAAUGAAAACUCUAAGAAAGAAUCAGAAGAAAAUGACAGAAAUGAAAAACACUGCAACAGAAAUGAAGAAUGCCUUUGAUAAGCUCAUUACUAAACUGAACAUAAACAAGGAAAUAAUCAAUAAUUUAAAGAUAUAUCAAAGGAGACAUUGCAAAUUGAAAUACUAAGAGAAAAAGGACUACAACCUCCAUUCCAAUAUCCAAGAACAAUUACAAAAAUAUAACAUAUGCAUAAUUGAAGUACUAGAAGAAGAAGAAAGGAGCAGAGGAAGUGCAGAGGAAGUACAGUAGUUCCCUCUUAUCCAUGGUGGAUACAUUCAAAGACCCCCAGUGGAUGCCUGAAAAUGCAGAUAGUACCAAACCCUACCUAUACAUUCUAUGUUUUUUCCUAUAUGUACAUAUCUAUGAUAAGGUUUAACUUAUAAAUUAGGCAUAAAAAGAGUUUAACAGUAUAAUAAAAUAGAAAAAUUAUAACAAUACUCAGAACCAAGCACAACUGAAAACUUGUGAAAUGUUUAUUUCUGGGCAUGGUGGCUCAUGCCUGUAAUCCCAACACUUUGCAAAGCCAAGGCAGAUGGAUUGCUUGAGCUCAGGAGUUUAAGACCAGUGUGGGAAGCAUGGUGAAACCUCAUCUCUACAAAAAAUACAAAAAAUUAUCUAGGUGUAGUGGCACAUGCCCAUAGUUCCAGCUACUCGGGGUGGUGGGAGGGUGUGUGGUGGGGGGCAGUGUGGGGUGGAAGGGAGCUGAAAUGGGAUAAUCGCUUGAGACCAGGAAGUCAAGGCUGUACUGAGCCUUGACUGGGCCACUGCACUCCAGCCUGGGUGACAGAAUGAGACCCUGUCUCAAAAAAAAAAAAAAAGGAAAAUUAUUAAGGAUAAAGAUGGGCAUUAAAUAAUGAGAAAGGGGCAAUUAUCCAAAAAACAUAAUAAUUCUUAAGUUAUGCAGGUAACACAGCAUCUAAAUACAUGAGACAAAAAUUUAUAAAACUGCAAGAAGAAAUAAUCAAAUUUAAUAUUAUUUAAUAAUAUUUUUGGAGAUCUCAACAUCCCUAUAUUAAUAACAGCUAAUUUCAACAAGCAGAAAUCAGGAAAAUGUUCAACUGAAUAGCACUAACAAUGAACAGGAUCUAACUGUUCAAGUAGCAGCAGAAUAAUUAAUCAAGUAACAGCAGAAUACAUAUUCCUCUCAAGUUUAUAUGGGACUUUAUGCAAAAUAGACCACAUUCUGGGGCUGAAAAAGAUGCCCUCACAAAUUUAAAAGAAUAGAAGGUUUACUGCAUGUGUUCUUAGACUAUAAUGAAAUUUAACUGGAAAUCAGUGCCAGAAAAAAACUCAGAAGUCCCCAAAUAGUUUGAGAUUAAAUAACAUACUUUUAUAUAACACAUAGGUCAAAGAAGAAGUCUCAAAGGAAAUUUAAAAAUAUUUCGAACUAAACAAAAUGAAAUGUACAUCAAAAUUUAUGGGAUGCUCAGGAAAAAUAGCUAGUGGAUGCUUGGCUUCAUACCUAGGUGAUGGGUUGAUCUGUGCAGCAAAGCACCAUGGCACACGUUUACCUAUGUAACAAACCUGCACAUCCUGCACAUGUACCCUGGAACUGAAAAUAAAAAUUGAUUAAAAAAGAAAGAGAAAGGAUAAUUCCUUUCACCCACAGUUUCCUGUCUCCUAAUAGUCCUUCUGUUGUGUCUUUAAAUAAAUGUGUCUCAAAUCUUAAGAUAUUCAUAAAAUCUGGGAUUGCAGAUGUAUUUUGCAUUACAAGUCCUAUUUUUAUUUUUUAAUGGAAUGCUGUAAAAGCAGUUCUUAGAGGCAAAUUUAUAGCAGCAAAUGCAUAUAUUAGAAAAGAAGAAAAAUCUAAAAUCACUAAUAGAAAUGUGCCUUAGGAAAGUAAAGAGAGGAGAGCAAUUUAAGCCUCAAGUAAGCAGAAGAAAAGACAUAAAACUUUGAGCAGAAAUCAAUAAAAUUGAAAACAUGAGGUCAACAGAGAAAGUCAAUAAACCCAAAAGGCAAUGCCUUUAAAAGAUCAAUAAAAUCGAUAAAUCCAUAGCCAGGCUAACCAAGUGAAAAAGGGAGAAGACACAAAUUAUAAAUAUUGAUUCCAUAGACAUUAAAAAGAUAAUAAAAGAACAUUACAAACAAAUGUAUACUGACACUUUUGGUAAUUUAGAUGAAAUGAAUCAAUUCCUUGAAAGACAUAAACCAUCAAAACUUAUGGAAAAGAAAUACAUUACCUAAAUAGAUCUAUAUUUAUUUAAAAAAUAGAUAAAUCAUUAAUAAUCUUUCGAAAAAGAAAGCGUCUCGCCCAGAUUCUUUCACUAAUGAAUUCCACCAAGCAUUUAAGGAAGAAAUAAUGUCAGUUCUCUAUAAUCACUUUUAGAAAAUAGAAGUAAGAGGUAUACCUCCUAACUCAUUCAAGGAGGCAGGCAUUAUCUUAAUAUCAAAACCGGGGAAAUACACUACAAGAAAUGAAACCUACAGCUCAAUAUAUUUUAUGAAUAUAGAUGGAAAAAUUUUCAAUAAAAUAUUAGCUAAUUGAAUCCAAAAAUAUAUAAAAAUAGUAAUACAUCACAGUAAGUGCAAUUUAUUUUAGGCAUACCAGACUGAUCUGACAUUUAUUAACUGGCUAAAGAACUAUUUUAUGAUUCUGUCAAUUGAUGCAGAGAAAGCAUUUGACAAACUCCAACAUCUAUUUAUGAGAAAAAGUCUUAGAAAACUAGGAAUAAAAAACAUCCUCAACUUAAUCUGGAACAUCUAAAAAAUGGGACUUCACGCUAUUUUAUGGUGAGAAAUGAUAUGCUUUUCUUCUAUAUUGGGAACAAGACAAGGUUCUUUUUUUGCCACUCUUAUUCACCAUCCUACUGGAUGUCCUAAUUAGUGCAACAAGGCAAGAAAAAAUAUAUAUACAGAUUAGAAAGAAAAAAAGAAAACUACCUCUGUUCAAGAUGACAUAAUUACUUAUUUAGUAAAACUGAAAGAAUUGACUCCUGGAAUUAAUAUGUGAUUAUAGCAAGGUUGCAGGAUGCGAGGUUAAUAGAAGUCAAUUGUGUUUCCAUGUACCACCAGUGAACAAGUGAAAAUUGAAGUUGAAAACAAAAUACAAUUUCAUUCCUUCCCCCAGCAAAAAUGAAAUAUAAACAACAAAAUAUGUAUACAACGUAUAUUAUGUAUAUGGAAAAUUUUAAGUCUGAUGAAAGAAAUAAAGGAAGAUCUAAAUAAAUGGAGAUGUACCACUUUCAUGGAUAAGUAGAUUCAAUAAUGUUGAGAUAUAAAUUCUUCACGAAUUGGUGUAUACAUUUAAUACAAUUCUAAUAAAUUCUCAGCAAGUUAUUUUGUGGUUAUUGACAAAUUUAUUCUAUUUUUUAGCUUCAUCUCAAAAGAUGAUUUUAAAAUUUAUAUGGAAAUGCAAGAGACCCAGAAUAGUCUACAUAAUACUGACCAAAGGACUAAGUUGGAGAACUGACACUACUCAUAGUACUACAAAGCUACAGUAAUUAUGACAGUGAGGUAUUUGUACAAGAAUAGACAAAUGGAUUAAUAGAAAAGAGGAGAGAGCCUCUUUUAGACCCUCAACUGAUCCUUGACAGAGCAAAAUAAAUUCAAUUGAGAAAGGACAGUCUUUUCAACAAAUAAUCAUCAAAAAUUGUGCAUAUACAUGCAAAAAUGAAUCUAGACAUAUACCUUAUGCUUUUCACAAAAAUUAAUUUAAAAUGGACCUUAGUUCUAAAUGUAAAACAAAAACUAGAAAACUUCUAUGAGAUAGCAUAGGAGAAAAUCUAGGUGACCUUGGGUUUGAUUAAAUCAUGAUCCAUGAAAGAAAAAAAUUAAAAAAAAAUUGAACUUAAUUAAAUUUAAAAAUUGUUAUGUGAAAUAUAUUGUUAAGUAAAUGAGAAGACAAGCCACAGAAUGAGAGAAAAUAUUUUAAAAACAUAUCCAGUAAAGGAGUUAAAUCCAAAUGACACCAAGGUAUUUAAAUAAUUCUAUGUAAUGAUCAAAAGAUCUGAACAUUCAACUCACCAAAUAAGAUGUACAGAUGGCAUAUAAGCAUAUGAAAAGAUGCUCAACAUCUUAUGUUAUUAGAGAAUAGUAAAUUAAAACAACAAUGAGAAACCACUACACCUAUUAGAAUGGCUGAAAUCCAAAUUACUGACAACAACCAAUGCUGUUGAGAAUGCAAUGCAAGAGAAACUCUAGUUCAUCCAAUUUUCAAAUGUGACUGUAAAAGGCUGCAGCCACUUUAGAAGACAUUUUGUCUGUUUCUUACAAAGCUAAGCAUAGCCUUGCAUUAUAAUCUGCAGUUGUGUUCCUCUGUAUAUACCCAAUUACACUGAAACAUUAUGUCUACAAAAAAAUCCUGAAAACAAAUGUUUAUAGCAGGUUUAUUGUUACUUGGUAGUUACCAAAAAUGGAAAACAAUCAAGAUGUCUUUCAAUAGAUGAGUGAAUAAACUAUAAGAUAUCCAUAAAAUGGAAUAUUAUUCAGCAGUAAAAAGAAAUGAGCUUUCAAAUCAUGAAAAGACAUGGAGGAAACUCAAAUGCAUACUGUUACAUGAAAGCAGCCAGUGUGAAAAGGCUACAUGCUAUAUAAUUUCAAUUAGAUGACAUUUUGGAAAGAAGCAAAACUGUAAAGAAAAAGAUCAGUUUUUGCCUGGCGUUCAGGGAAAGGGAAGAAUAAGUUAAGCACAGGAGACUUGGGGAGCUGUGAAAUGAUUCUGUGCAAUAUUGGUGGAAUUUUGGCAACAUUAUGCAUUUGCCAAAGGCAAUAGAAGUUUUUGACACAAAGAGUUACCAUAAUGCAGGCAAAUUUUAGAAAAUUAUUUAGAAGGUCAGAGGAUCCCAGAAGCAAUGUGGACUUUACAGAAGAAAUUCACUGCAUUACAAAGCAUCAGAUAACCUUAGUAAGGUGGAGAGAGAAAAUGGUCUUAACAUAAAUAUCUUUAAAAAUGAAUGGAAUCUGUCAGACUAUAGGCAAGAUGAGCUGCACAAAAGCACUGUACUCUAGCUGAUAAAAUUAUUUCUCAUUGGCUUCUGGUUAACAGUUCUGAUACUGCUAUACAUAUAUAUGGGAAUUGAAUAAUUAAGCCUAUAAAUGGCAAACAUUGGGAGUUAUAUUUCUCACGGUGUGGAAAUUUACAGAUCAACUAGGGGAACAGUCUUGAAUAAUCAAUGUGAUGAUCAUUACAGUUGGAGACAUCAAGGAGAACUAAUGUUUAACUUAAUAUAGAUAUGGGUGGUUAUAUAUAGAAAUAUUCAAAGAUGUUUAUGUAAAUACACAAAAGCACAACCAUGACACAUCUAAAAUAAAUAACACCCUGGUAACCAUGGGCACACUUAGUACUCAAAUGCUGGAGUGCAAUGGCGUGAUCUUGGCUCACUGCAACCUCUGCCCCCUGGGUUUAAGCAAUUCUCCAGCCUCAGCCACCAGAGUAGCAGUGAUUACAGGCACUCACCACCACACCUGGCUAAUUUUUGUAUUUUUAGUAGAGACAGGGUUUCACCAUGUUGGCCAGGCUUAUCUCGAACUCCUGACCUUGUGAUCUGCCCUCCUUGGCCUCCCAAGGUGCUGGGAUUACAGGCAUGAGCUACCAGGCCUGGCCUGUUGAUUUUUUCUUUUUUUUUUUUUUAUUAUACUUUAAGUUCUGGGAUACAUGUGCAGAAUGUGCAGGUUUGGAACAUAGAUAUACACGUGCCAUAGUGGUUUGCUGCACCCAUCAAUCGGUCAUCUAUAUUAGAUAUUUCUCCUAAUGUUAUCCCUCCCCUAGUUCCCUACCCACCAAAGGGCCCAGUGUGUGAUGUUCCCCUCCCUGUGUCCAUGUGUUCUCUUUUUUCAACUCCCACUUAUGAGUGAGAACAUGCAGUGUUUGGUUUUCUGUUCCUGUGUUAGCUUGCUGAGAAUGAUGGUUUCCAGCUUCAUCCAUGUCCCUGCAAAGGACAUGAGCUCAUCCUUUUUUAUGGCUGCAUAGUAUUCCAUGGUGUAUAUGUGCCACAUUUUCUUUAUCCAGUCUAUCACUGAUGAGCAUUUGGGUUGAUUCCAAGUCUUUGUUGUUGUGAACAGUGUUGCAGUAAAUGGGUGUGUGUCUUUGUAGAAUGAUUUAUAAUCCUUUGGGUAUAUACCCAGUGAUGGGAUUGCUGGAUCAAAUGGUAUUUCUGGUUCUAGAUCCUUGAGGAAUUGCCACACUGUCUUCCACAAUGGGUGAUCUAAUUUACACUCCCACCAACAGUGUAAAAGCCUUCCUAUUUGUCCACAUCCUCUCCAGCAUCUGUUGUUUCCUGACUUUUUAAUGAUCGCCAUUUUAACUGGCGUGAGAUGGUAUCUCACUGUGGUUUUGAUUUGCAUUUCUCUAAUGACCAGUGAUGAUGAGCUUUUUUUCAUAUGUUUGUUGGCCACAUAAAUGUCUUCUUUUGAGAAGUGUCUGUUUAUAUCCUUUGCCCACUUUUUGAUGGGGUUGUUUGUUUUUUUUUCUCGUAAAUUUGUUUAGGUUCUUUGUAGAUUCUGGAUAUUAGCCCUUCGGCAGAUGAGUAGAUUGCAAAAAGGUUCUCCCAUUCUGUAGGUUGUCUGUUCACUCUGAUGAUAGUUUCUUUUGCUGUUUAGAAACUCUUUAGUUUAAUUAGAUCCCAUUUGUCAAUUUUGACAUUUGUUGCCAUUGCUUUUGGUGUUUUAGUCAUGAAGUCUUUGCCCAUGCCUAUGUCCUGAAUGGUAUAGCCUAGGUUUUCUUCUGGGGUUUUCAUAGUUAGAGGUUUUAUGUUUAAGUCUUUAAUCCAUCUUGAGUUCGUUUUUGUACAAGGUCUGAGGAAGGGUUCAGUAUCAGUUUUCUGCAUAUAGCUAGCCAGUUUUCCCAACACCAUUUAUUAAAUAGGGAAUACAUCCCCCAUUGCUUGUAUUUGUCGGGUUCGUCAAAGAUCAGAUGGUUGUAGAUGUGUGGCAUUAUUUCUGAGGCCUCUGUUCUGUUUCAUUGGUCUAUAUAUCUGUUUUGGUACCAGUACCAUGCUGUUUUGGUUACUGUAGCAUUGUAGUAGAGUUUGAAGUCAGGUAGCGUAAUACCUCCAGCUUUGUUCUUUUUGCUUAGAAUUGUCUUGACUAUGCGGGCUCUUUUUUGGUUCCAUAUGAAAUUUAAAGUAGUUUUUUCUAGUUCUGUGAAGAAAGUCAAUGGUUGCUUGAUGGGGAUAGCACUGAAUCUAUAACUUACUUUGGGCAGUAUGGCCAUUUUGAUGAUAUUGAUUCUUCCUAUCCGUGGGCAUGAUAUGUUUUUCCAUUUGUUUGUGUCGUCUCUUAUUUCCUUGAGCAGUGGUUUGUAGUUCUCCUUGAAGAGGUCCUUCACAUACCAUGUAAGUUUUAUUCCUGGGUACUUUAUUCUCUUUGUAGCAAUUGUGAAUGGAAGUUCACUCAUGAUUUGGCUCUCUGUUUGCCUAUUAUUGGUGUAUACAAAUGCUUGUGAUUUUUGCACACUGCUUUUGUAUCCUGAGAUUUUGCUGAAGUUGCUUAUCAACUUGAGAUUUUGGGCCGAAAUGGUGGGGUAUUCUAAAUACACAAUCAUAUCAUCUGCAAGCAGAGACAAUUUGACUUCCUGUCUUCCUAUUUGAAAACUCUUUAUUUCGUUCUCCUGCCUGAUGACCCUGGCUAGAACUUCCAAUAUAUGGUGAAUAGGAGUGGUGAGAGAGGGCAUCCUUUUCUUGUGCCAGUUUUCAAAGGGAAUGCUUCCAGUUCUUGCCCAUUUAGUAUGAUAUCGGCUGUGAGUUUCUUGUAAAUAACUAUUAUUAUUUUGAGAUAUGUUCCAUCAAUACCUAGUUUACUGACAGUUUUUAGCAUGAAGCUGUGUUGAAUUUUAUCAAAGGCGUUUUCUGCGUCUAUUGAGAUAAUCAUGUGAUUUUUGUCAUCAGUUUUGUUUAUGUGAUGGAUUAUGUUUAUUGAUUUGCAUAUGUUGAACCAGCCUUGCAUCCCAGGGAUUAAGCUGACUUGAUUGUGGAGGAUAAACUUUUUGAUGUGCUGCUGGAUUCGGUUUGCCAGUAUUUUAUUGAGGAUUUUUGCAUCGAUGUUCAUCAGGGAUAUUGGCCUGAAAUUUUCCUUUUUUGUUGUGUCUCUUCCAGGUUUUGGUAUCAGAAUGAUGCUGGCCUCAUAAAAUGAGUUAGGGAGGAGUCCCUCUUUUUCUAUUGUUUGGAAUCAUUUCAGGAGGAAUGGUACCAGCUCCUCUUUUUACCUCUGGUAGAAUUUGGCUGUGAAUCCAUCUGGUCCUGGGCUUUUUUUGGCUGGUAGGCUAUUAAUUACUGCCUCAAUUUCAGAACUUGUUAUUGGUCUAUUCAAGAAUUUGACUUCUUCCUAGUUUAGUCUUGGGAGGGUGUAUGUGUUGAGGAAUUUAUCCAUUUCUGCUAGAUUUUCUAGUUUAUUUUCAUAGAGGUGUUUAUAGUAUUCUCUGAUGGUAGUUUGUAUUUCUGUGGGAUCAGUAGUCAUCUUCCCUUUAUCAUUUCUUAUUGUGUCUAUUUGAUUCUUCUCUCUUUUCUUCUUUAUUAGUCUGGCUAACAGUCUAUCUAUUUUGUUAAUCUUUUCAAAAAACCAGCUCAUGGAUGCAUUUACGUUUUCGAAGGGUUUUUCAUGUCCCUGUCUUCUUCAAUUCUGCUCUGAUCUUAGUUAUUUCUUAUCUUCUGCUAGCUUUUGAAUUUGUUUGCUCUUGCUUCUCUAGUUCUUUUAAUUGUGAUGUUAAGGUGUCAAUUUUAGAUCUUUCCCACUUUCUACUGUGGGCAUUUAAUGCUAUAAAUUUCCCUCUAAAAACUGCUUUAGCUAUGUCCCAGAGAUUCUGGUACAUUGUAUCUUUGUUCUCAUUGGUUUCAAAGAACUCAUUUAUUUCUGCCUUAAUUUUGUUUUUUACCCAGUAGUCAUUCAGAAGAAGGUUGUUCAGUUUCCAUGCAGUUGUGCUGUUUUGAGGGAGUUUCUUAAUCAUGAGUUCUAAUUUGAUUGCACUGUGGUUUGAGAGAUGGUUUGUUGUGAUUUCUGCUCUUUUGGAUUUUUCUGAGGAGUGUUUUAUUUCUAAUUGUGUGGUCAAUUUUAUAAUAAGCACAAUGUGGUACUGAGAAGAAUGUAUAUUCUGCUGAUUAGGGGUGGAGAGUUCUAUAGAUGUCUAUUAGGUCUGCUUGGUCCAGAGCUGAGUUCAAGUCCUGAAUAUCCUUGUUAAUUUUCUGUCUCAUUGAUCUGUCUAAUAUUGACAGUGGGGUGUUAAAGUCUCCCACUAUUAUUGUGUGGGAGUCCAAGUCUCUCUGUAGAUCUCUAAGAACUUGCUUUAUGAAUCUGGAUGCCCUUGUAUUGGGUGCAUAUAUAUUUAGAAUAGUUAGACCUUCUUGUUGCAUUGAUCCCUUUACCAUUAUGUAAUGCCCUUCUUUGUCUCUUUUGAUCUUUGUUGGCUUAAAGUCUGUUUUAUCUGAGACUAGGAUUGCAACCCCUGGGUUUUGUUUGUUUGUUUGUUUUCUUUAUAUUUGCUUGGUAAAUCUUCCCUCAUCCCUUUAUUUUGAGCCUAUGUUGUGUCUUUGGACGUGAGAUGAGUCUCCUGAAUACAGCACACUGAUGAAUCUUGACUCUUUAUCCCAUUUGCCAGUCUGUGUCUUUUAACUGGGGCAUUUAGCCCAUUUACAUUUAAGGUUAAUAUUGUUAUGUGUGAAUUUGAUCCUGUCAUUAUGAUCCUAGCUGGUUGUUUUGCCUGUUAGUUGGUGCAGUAUCUUCAUAAUGUCGAUGGUCUUUACAAUUUGAUAUGUUUUUGCAGUGGCUGGUACCAGUUUUUCCUUUCCAUAUUUAGUGCGAUGAUCUUACAAUUUGGUAUGUUUUUGCACUGGCUGAUACUGGUUUUUCCUUUCCAUAUCUUGUGCUUCUUUCAAUAGCUCUUGUAAGGCAGGCCUGCUGGUGACAAAAUGUCUCAGCAUUUGCUUCUCUGUGAAGGAUUUUAUUUUUCCUUCGCUUACGAAGCUUAGUUUUGCUGGAUAUGAAAUUCUGGGUUGAAAAUUCUUUUCUUUAAGAAUGUUGAAUAUUGGCCCUCCUCUGUUCUGGCUUGUAGGGUUUCUGCAGAGAGAUCCGCUGUUAGUCUGAUGGGCUUCCCUUUGUGGGUAACCUGACCUUUCUCCCUGGCUUCCGUUAACAUUUUUUCCUUCAUUUCAACCUUGGUGAAUCUGAUGAUUAUGUGUCUUGGAGUUGCUCUUCUUGAGGAGUGUCUUUGUAGUGUUCUCUGUAUUUCCUGAAUUUGAAUGUUGGCCUGUCUUGCUACAUUGGGGAAGUUUUCCAGGAUAAUAUCCUGAAAAGUGUUUUCCAACUUGGUUCCAUUCUCCCCGUCACUUUCAGGUACACCAAUCCAAUGUAGGUUUGGUCUUUUCACAUAGUCCCAUAUUUCUUGGAGGCUUUGCUCAGAGAGGAGGAACUCAGAGAGGCAGUCUGGCUAUAGCAGAUUUGCUGAGCUGUUGUGGGCUCUGCCCAGUUCAAAAUUUUUGGCAGCUCCUUUACUCAAGCCUCAGUAAUGUUGGAUGCCCCACCCCCAACCACGCUUGAGCAUCCCAGGGCAACUUCAGACUGUUGUGCCUGCAGUGAGAAUUUCAAGCCCGUGAAUCUUAGCUUGCUAGGCUCCAUGGGGGUGGGAUCUGCUGAGCUAGACCACUUGGCUCCCUGGCUUCAUCCCCCUUUCCAGGCGAGUGAAAAGUUCUGUCUCACUGGCAUUCCUGGCACCACUGGGGUAUGAAAAAAAAACUCCUGCAGCUAGCUUCCUGUCUGACCAAACCGUUGCCCAGUUUUGUGCUUGAAACCCAGGGCCCUGGUGGCAUAGGCACCUGAGAGAAUCUCCUGGUCUGUGAGUUGCAAAGAUCGUGGGAAAAGCAUAGUAUCUGGGCCAGAGUGCACAGUUCCUCAAGGCACAUUCUGUCGUGGCUUCCCUUGGCUAGGGGAGGGUGUUCCCUGACCCCUUGCACUUCCCAGGUGAAGUGACACCCCACCCUGCUUUGGCUCACCCUCCAUGGGCUGCACCCACUGUCUAACCAGUCCCGAUGAGAUGAGCCAGAUACCUCAGUUGGAAAUGCAGAAAUCACCCGUCUUCUGCAUUGAUCUCACCGGGAGCUGUAGACCACAGCUAUUCCUAUUUGGCCUUUUUUUCUUUUGAGACAGGGUUUCACUCUUGUCACCCAGGCUGGAGUGCAAUGGUGCAAUCUUGGCUCACUGCAACCUCUGCCUCCCAGGUUCAAGUGAUUCUCCUGCCUAAGCCUCCCAAGUAGCUGGCAUUAUAGGCACUCACCACCAUACCCAGCUAAUUUUUGUAUCUUUUGUAGAGAUGGGGUUUCACCAUGUUGGCUAGGCUGGUUUUGAACUCCUAACCUCAGGUGACCCACCUGCCUCGGCCUCCCAAAGUGUUGGGAUUACAGGCAUGAGCCACUGCACCUGGCCAAAUGUUGAUUUUUUUAAUACCAUUUUAUAAUAAAAGGAACAAGGACUCCCUGGAGAAACAGCUGAUACUAAGGCAGGAGUAGAAAAUAUACAAGAUAAUCCUGGAAAAUCUUGUAGGGCCAGAAAGUAAACAAGUGCAUUAAAAAUAAGUCACAUUGGUAAUAAUAUGUCAAAGGAACAAGGGAGUCUACUGAAAGAGCUCCCAAAGGCCAAAGCUGGAAGAAGUAGAGCAAGAAAGUAAACUAGCUUUGAAUUAUAACCCAAAAUAUAAAGUAAAUAUCCAUAAGUCUCUACUGAUAUAAAGCACAAUUGAAUAAUAACUGGGAGAGGGAGGGAGAAUAAAUAAGUUCUACGUAAAAGAAUUUCUUAUAAAUUUUGUAGAUAUGACUUUCUAAACAAAUUCUCAUUCUUAAGAAUUCAUAGUGACUUCCUUCCAAAAAUUACAAUAUGGAAAACUGAUAAAAAAUGAGUAACUCUACAGUGGAGGAAUCUGACACAUACUACAUCAGCCAGGUUAUUGAGGUCAACAUCAACAGCCAUAAAUCAUGUGAACAGUAUGUACACUUGGUAUGAUGUAACGAAUAGCACUUCACUUCUGUGGUCUUUCUCCCCAGGCUCAUUAUCUCAGUAUAAUCAUGAAAAAAAAAAAAAAAAAAAAACCCAGCAAAGUCCAAUAGAGGAAUAUUCUACAAAAUACCUCACUAUACUCUUUAAAAGAGUUAAGGUCAUUAAAAUGGAGUCGGAGACAAUGUCCUCAACAUGAGGAGUCUAAAGAGACAGGCCAACUAAAUUUAGUAUGGUAUACUGGAUGAAUUCCUGGAACAGAAAAAAGGUUAUUAGGUAACAACUCAGGAAAUCUGAAUAAAGAAAGAAAUCAGUUAAUAACAAUGUAUCAGUAUUGCUUUAUUAAUUAUGACAAAAGUACCAUACUAGUGAAAGAUGAAUAAUCGGAGUAACUGUGUGCAAAGACUGGGUAGAGGGG